GCGCUGGUAGCUCAACUGGUUAGAGCACCCGCCUGUCACGCGGGAGGUUGCGGGUUCGAGUCCCGUCUGGCGCGCCA
rnacentral:tRNA from 2 species